rnacentral:lncRNA from 1 species
UGGAUUUUCUAACCCUAGCCGCACCUAAACCCUAGCCCAUUGUCUAACCUGAUUUCUUUAGGGUUUUAGGUGCCUAUAUAUAUGUGUUUUACAUCCUUUGGCCGAACAUCACCCUCUCCAUAAUUCAGAAAAUUCGUCCAGCCACUUCCCACUCUUUGCCGCAACCAUUCUACAACUCCAGCCACCAUUCUACACCUCCAUACACCAUUCUACACCUCCAUACACCAUUCUACACCUCCAUACACCACCCAUACCUCUUGCCGCACCACCAUAUCAUCCUAAUUCCCUUCUAAAACCAAAAUCACAUCCAAAAACACCCUAAACCCUCUCUGCCGCAGCAAGGAGAAGAAGAAAGAGGAGCUUGAAGUCAGAAAUUCAAAGUGGAAUUC